CAGCAGCCGCGGGAAUACGUAGGGUGCAAGCGUUAAUCGGAAUUACUGGGCGUAAAGCGUGCGCAGGCGGUUAUAUAAGACAGAUGUGAAAUCCACGGGCUCAACCUGGGAACUGCAUUUGUGACUGUAUAGCUAGAGUACGGCAGAGGGGGAUGGAAUUCCGCGUGUAGCAGUGAAAUGCGUAGAUAUGCGGAGGAACACCGAUGGCGAAGGCAAUCCCCUGGGCCUGUACUGACGCUCAUGCACGAAAGCGUGGGGAGCAAACAGGAUUAGAUACCCCAGUAGUCCCUGUCUCUUAUAC
rnacentral:rRNA from 1 species